AUGGGGUUUGCUAGAGCUUUUGGCACAAGAACGAUCACCUUCCUUUUAAGGAGAUGGAGAAGGCCGGUGCUCACAGCCCUGGGACAGACAGCUUCAGAACCUGUUACCCUACACUGCAGCAACGCAGCUAUGCAAGGGAUGCACUUUACCCCAUGCUGUCCCGCAACCCUCGGCCUCCCAGCUGAGAUCCCAGACGUGAGUCAAGCUGUCUUGGACCAUCAAGUCCGGUGGAGCCAGCCCCCACGACCAGAACCACUCAACCGGUG
rnacentral:lncRNA from 12 species